rnacentral:rRNA from 1 species
UGGAUUAGGCAUGCAAGUCGUACGAGAAAGCUUCCUUCGGGAGGUGAGUAAAGUGGCGGAAGGGUGAGUAAUGCAUAAAUAACCUGCCCUCAAGACCGGAAUAAUACUUCGAAAGGGGUACUAAUGCCGGAUGGUACAUUUUUGGCUUUGGCCUUUUUUGUUAAAGGAGGGGACCCGGAUGGGCCUUCCACUUGAGGAGGGGUUUAUGUCCUAUUAGCUUGUUGGUGGGGUAACUGCCCACCAAGGCAUAGAUGGGUAGCCGAUCUGAGAGGAUGGUCGGCCACACUGGGACUGAGACACUGCCCAGACUCCUACGGGAGGCUGCAGUCGAGAAUCUUUCGCAAUGCGCGCAAGCGUGACGAAGCGACGCCGCGUGGACGAUUAAGGCCUUCGGGUUGUAAAGUCCUGUCACAUAGGAAGAAACGCAUAGAUGCUAAUAUCAUCUGUACCUGACCUAACUAUGAGAGGAAGCUCCGGCUAACUCCGUGCCAGCAGCCGCGGUAAGACGGAGGGAGCAAGCGUUGUUCGGAAUUACUGGGCAUAAAGGGCGCGUAGGCGGUAAAGCAAGUUAGUUAGUGAAAGCCCCUGGCUCAACCAGGGAAUUGCUUCUGAUACUGCUUUACUUGAGUGUAGGAGGGGAGAGCGGAACUCUUGGUGGAGCGGUGAAAUGCGUAGAUAUCAAGAGGAACGCCGGUGGCGAAAGCGGUUCUCUAUUCUAUUACUGACGCUGAGGCGCGAAAGCCAGGGGAGCAAACGGGAUUAGAUACCCCGGUAGUCCUGGCCGUAAACGUUGGGCACUAAGUAGAGGGGUUU